rnacentral:rRNA from 1 species
CCAAUAGCGUAUAUUAAAGUUGUUGCAGUUAAAAAGUUCGUAGUUGAAUUUCGGGGUCAGUAGAUUGGUCGUGCCUCUGGUAUGUACUGGUCUCACUGAUUCCUCCUUCCUGAUGAACCGUAAUGCCAUUAAUUUGGUGUUGCGGGGAGACUGGACUGUUACUUUGAAAAAAUUAGAGUGUUUAAAGCAAGCUAACGCUUGAAUACAUUAGCAUGGAAUAAUGAAAUAGGACGUUCGAUCCUAUUUUGUUGGUUUCUAGGAUUGACGUAAUGAUUAAUAGGGAUAGUUGGGGGCAUUAGUAUUCAAUUGUCAGAGGUGAAAUUCUUGGAUUUAUUGAAGACUAACUACUGCGAAAGCAUUUGCCAAGGAUGUUUUCAUUAAUCAAGAACGAAAGUUAGGGGAUCGAAGACGAUCAGAUACCGUCGUAGUCUUAACCAUAAACUAUGCCGACUAGGGAUCGGAUGAUGUUAAUUUUUUAAUGACUCAUUCGGCGCCUUACG